AUUUUGCGCAAGAUUAUGACUGUUGUCAGCAGAAGAUUUGACCUCACUAGACCACAACUUUUUGGAUCUAGGAAUUCUGGGGACAAAUCACAAUCAAACCUAAUCAAAGUCAAGGCAGUGAUCAAUAGACCAUCCAACCAUGCUAUGUUACCAACUUUCUUUAUGUCGAACCGCAGAUCUCUUUUAAACAAGAUUGAUGAGUUCCAGGCUAUAUUGAUAAAAAACCAUGUAGAUGUGGCUGCAAUUUCAGAAACUUUGUUUACUCCCCACAUGCCUGAAGAAUUACUGGGUAUAGAUGGCUACACCUUGUUUUCCAAAUGCCAAACCACUCGCCGUGGUGGAGGUGUUGCACUAUACAUCAGAGACUGUGUUCCAUCACAUCCCCUAACCUGUAUCAGGGUUCCUGACCAUCUAGAAUGUCUGUGGGUGAAAGUGAGACCUCUGAGACCUCCACGGCACAUAUCUGCUAUUGCUGUGUCUGGUGUAUUUACCGCCCCAAUCGCCACAUCAGGAUGAACUCAUUGAACAUCUAAUAGCCUCAUCUGACCUGCUUCGUACUAAGCACCCAGACAUUGGACUUGUAAUUCUUGGAGACUUCAACCACCUCAAAGUCCAUGACAUCUGCCUAGAUAACCAACUCUGCCAGGUGGUUCAGAACAACACCAGAGGUGAAGCCAUCCUUGACAUGAUUAUCACUAACAUGAAAUCAUUGUACCUGAAGCCUGAGAUUCUCCCUCCUGUUAGCUCAAGUGACCACAAUUGUGUCCUCUGGAGCCCUAAAGCAUGAACAAGAGCUCUCCAGUGCACUAAACGGGUAGUACGACCUAUAAGGGAGCCUGGCUUGAGUGAGUUUGGCAGGUGGAUUACCACUCAUCUAUGGCAGGAGGUGAAUGAAGCAACCAGCACUAAUGAAAAAGCCAACGCCUUCUACAAUACCAUUCUGCCUGAAACUGAUAGACAUUUCCCUAUGAAGACAGUGAAAAUGUAUCCUUCGGACAAACCAUGGAUCACCCCCAAGAUCAAGCAUUUGAUCCACCAGAGACAAAAAGCUUUCAAGACUGGAAAAUCAUGUGCCCUGGCAAGGUUCUACAGAAAUAAGGUCCAAAAGAAAAUAAUUUUACAAAUCCAAAGUGGAAGGCAUGGAAAAAGCUAAUUCUAGAGCUUGGCACAAUAGAGUUAAAUCGAUGUGCAAAACUGCAAAAAAGGUGGACCGAAUCAAUGUCCCUGGAAUCAAUCCCCAGGACUUUGUGACAAUUGCUAAUGCAAUCAACACAAAGUUUGUUAAAGUGUCCCAGUCACUUCCGCCUUUCCAACGUUCAGCUCUACCUCCUUUCCUGCCAUCUCCCCCAUUGCCCACUAUUCCAGUGUGGGAUGUGUAUAGACUGUGAGAAGCAGACUGUCCUCCUGCCACAAAUCCCCUGGCCCAGACAUGAUUCCCCCAAGAAUAUUGAAGGAGUUUGCAUGCGAGAUCAGCAUUCCUAUCUGUGAUAUCAUUAACAGUUAGUUUGAUGACGGGGUCGUCCCUAGACAAUGGAAAGAGGCUACUGUUGUCCCCAUACCAAAAUCUUCCCCACCAAACAUUGAUGAACUGAGGCCGAUCUCAUUAACAGCUCAGCUCUCUAAACUAUGCGAACAGUUUGCUGUGCAUUGGAUCCUGAAUGACAUCACGCCAAAUCUAGAUCCCAUGCAGUUUGGCAGCCGACAGAAUCGUUCUACAACACACUAUCUAGUCAGUUUGAUGGACUCUGCGUACAAGGCCUGUGAUGUUCCAGGCUCAGCGUGCACACUAAUUACAACUGACUUUGCUAAGGCCUUUGAUGCUGUAGAUCACACAAUGGCAGUACAGUGCCUCCUUGACCUUGGAGUGAGACCGGGCCUGAUCCCAUGGAUCUGCAGCUUCACGACUGACCGCCGCCAAAAAGUGCGCUACCAGGGACAUCUUGGACAAUCCAUGGUUAGGAGUAUUGUCACUUUGAAACACACUCCUCGCUGGAGGAAAGCAGUACUUUUAACUUGAGAGGAAGCUGAUAACUGAGUUCCACUAUAAGUAAUGAUUGACUGAUCAGCCAGGUCUUCUAAGGUCAUGACUACACCUAAGCCAUGCCUUAGGAAUAUGCAUUAUUACACACGGUGAAGGACCCACAAAACCUCGGCCUGUAACACUGAUAUGGUUCCGUUUUCGUUGUCCGCUUGUAAUAACCACAUUCAGAACAAAGUGUAAUCAUGCGUUAAAUGAAAUUAUACGCCGAAUGCUGAAACACGGAGAUGUUGAAUUAAUUGGAGCACAUGGCUGGAAAUGGCUGGAGCACAGCCCAGCACCCAACCAGCAUCACUACAGGAAACACCUCCAAGUAUCAUGUCCACAGCUAAAAGAUCUGACCUUCUUAAGUAUGGAACCGUGCUCACGCUGGACGGCACACAAGCGCAUCGUGCUGUCCG